rnacentral:tRNA from 1 species
CCUUCGAUAGCUCAGUUGGUAGAGCGGUGGACUGUAGUGUGUCGUUGUCAUUGUGUAGUUUCAUGGAGUGUUGGUUCCAAGCAAUUAGCGGGCCGUAAAUACCAGCGUGCUUACGCAGUUGGCAUUGGCCUUCGCUUCGGCUAUGCAAGCACCAAUAUCAGUCGAUAUCCAUAGGUCGCUGGUUCAAAUCCGGCUCGAAGGA